AUCGAACUGACUAGUCCCAAAUAGGACGAAACACGCGUCCAGGAU
rnacentral:hammerhead_ribozyme from 1 species